AGCAGCCGCGGUAAUUCCAGCUCCAAUAGCGUAUAUUAAGGUUGUUGCAGUUAAAAAGCUCGUAGUUGAAUUUCGGGGUUAGUAGGUUGGUCAUGCCUCCGGUAUGUACUGAUCUCACUGAUUCCUCCUUCCUUAUGAACCGUAAUGCCAUUAAUUUGGUGUUGCGGGAAAUUUGGACUGUUACUUUGAAAAAAUUGAGUGUUUAAAGCAAGCUAACGCUUGAAUACAUUAGCAUGGAAUAAUGAAAUAGGACGUUCGAUCUUAUUUUGUUGGUUUCUAGGAUUGACGUAAUGAUUAAUAGGGAUAGUUAGGGGCAUUAGUAUUCAAUUGUCAGAGGUGAAAUUCUUGGAUUUUAUUGAAGACUAACUACUGCGAAAGCAUUUGCCAGG
rnacentral:rRNA from 1 species